rnacentral:rRNA from 1 species
AUUGAACGCUGGCGGCAUGCCUUACACAUGCAAGUCGAACGGUAACAGGUCUUCGGAUGCUGACGAGUGGCGAACGGGUGAGUAAUACAUCGGAACGUGCCCAGUCGUGGGGGAUAACGAAGCGAAAGCUUUGCUAAUACCGCAUACGAUCUACGGAUGAAAGCGGGGGAUCGCAAGACCUCGCGCGAUUGGAGCGGCCGAUGGCAGAUUAGGUAGUUGGUGGGGUAAAGGCUUACCAAGCCUACGAUCUGUAGCUGGUCUGAGAGGACGACCAGCCACACUGGGACUGAGACACGGCCCAGACUCCUACGGGAGGCAGCAGUGGGGAAUUUUGGACAAUGGGCGCAAGCCUGAUUCAGCAAUGCCGCGUGCAGGAUGAAGGCCUUCGGGUUGUAAACUGCUUUUGUACGGAACGAAAAGCUCUGGGUUAAUACCCUGGGGUCAUGACGGUACCGUAAGAAUAAGCACCGGCUAACUACGUGCCAGCCGCUGCCGUAA